AUGGCCACCAGGCUCCUCUGCUGGGUGGCCCUUUGUCUCCUGGGAGUAGAGCCCACACAAGCUGGGGUCACCCAGACACCCAGGCACGAGAUCACAGAGAUGGGACAAGACGUAAUUCUGAGUUGUGAGCCAAUUUCCAGUCAUACCUAUCUUUACUGGUACAGACAGACCUCAGUGCAGGGACUAGAGCUCAUGAUUUAUUUCAGCAGCCAAAGUCCUAUGGACGACACAGGGAUGCCCAAGAAGCGGUACUCAGCUCGGAUGCCUAAUGCUUCGUUCUCCACUCUGAUGAUCCAGUCCACAGAGCCGGGGGACUCAGCCGUGUACCUCUGUGCCAGCAGCUUUGCCACAGCAGGAGGCAACCAGUACUUCGGCCCGGGCACCAGACUCACGGUUGUAGAGGACCUCAAAAGGGUGAAGCCACCCACGGUCACCGUGUUUGAACCAUCGGAAGCAGAGAUCGCCCGGACCCAAAAGGCCACGCUCGUGUGCCUGGCCACAGGCUUCUACCCCGACCACGUGGAGCUGAGCUGGUGGGUGAACGGCAAGGAGGUCCAGAGCGGGGUCAGCACGGACCCUCAGCCCUACAAGGAGCAUCCCAACAACAACAACUCCAACUACUGCCUGAGCAGCCGGCUGAGGGUCUCCGCCGCCUUCUGGCACAACACGCGCAACUUCUUCCGCUGCCAAGUCCAGUUCUACGGGCUGGACGAGAACGACACGUGGGAGGAGACGGACGGCCCCAAGCCCGUCACCCAGAAUAUCAGCGCCGGGGCCAGGGGCAGAGCCGACUGCGGCCUCACCUCGGUGUCCUAUCAGCAAGGGGUCCUGUCUGCCACCCUCCUGUAUGAGAUCCUGCUGGGGAAGGCCACCGUGUAUGCGGUGCUGGUCAGCGCCCUGGUGCUGAUGGCCAUGGUCAAGAAAAAGAAUUCCUGAGACCAGUUCCCAAAGCACGUCCUGAGUUCUUAAUCCUCACCCGAGACGCACCUUUAUGUGCUUCCAGUCUGCGUCCCUCUCCACCUCUGAUCACCUUCCUACAUAGAUACCUGUCCCUUCUCUCUGGGGCCCUGCAGACUGAGCUCCUCAACCCUGGGUCUGAACUAGACUAAACCAAUAAAAAUGUCUU